GUGACCUCAGCUUAGGCGAGAACACCCACUACGUUUAAGCAUAUAAUUAAGCAAAGGAAAAGAGACUUACAAGGAUUCCCCUAGUAGCGGCGAGUGAACUAGGAAGAGCCUGGCAUGAAAAUAGGGCGACAGCAUCGCCUGAAUUGUAGUCUAUAGAAGCAUCCUCAGCAGGGGACUUGGGCCAAGACCCUUGGAAGGCGGUGCCUGAGAGGGUGAUAGCCCUGUCAGGCUGGGAUCUUGUCGCAUCACGAGGCGUUAUGGGCGAGUCGGGUUAUUUUGGAAUGCAUCCCUAAUUGGGUGGUAAAUUCCUUCGUAGACUAAGUACGGGCGAAAGACUAAUAGAGAAAAAGUACUAAGAGGGAAAGAUGAAAAGGAAAUUGAAAAGAGAGUUAAAUAGUGCUUGAAAUUGUUGGGAUGGAAGCAGAUGGACGCUAUCGACGCAUCUCAGGCGUAUGUGGAAUGGCUCAGGCUUGUCUGCCGCUUGACUUGAGAUGCAAACCAACAUGGGAAGCUACAUAGUCACAAGCACGGGUGGGUUACUACCUGUCAGUUUGCAGUUUCGAUGGUUGAGGAAUGAAACAUGUGCCCUUGUGGCAAGCCGUGUGCACAUAUGCACUCGCGGUGUUUAUUGGCGGGCCUUCCAUUUGACCCAUCUUGAAACACAGACCAAGGAGUCUAACAUGUGUGCGAGUCAAAGGGUUUGAAAACCUGUGAUGUGCAAGGAAGCUAACGGGCACGAUCCCCUCUCUUGGGGGGUGCAUCGUCGACCAACCUUGAGCUUAUGUGAAGGGUUCGAGUGCGAUCACACCUGUUGGGACCUGAAAGAUGGUGAACUAUGCCUGAGUAGGGCAAAGUCAGAAGAAACUCUGGUGGAGGCUCAUAGUGAUACUGACAUGAAAAUUUUGCAUAUGACUUGGGUAUAGGGGCCAAAUACUAAUCAAACCAUCUAGCAGUUGGUUUCCUCCAAAGUUUCCCUCAGGAUAGAUGGAGGUCAUGCACAAGUUUUAUCAUGUAAAGAAAAUUAUUAGAGGCAUCUGGGGCAUAACACGCUUGACCUAUCCUCAAACUUUAAAUAGGUAAGAGGGUGUGGCUGCUCCAUUAAGCCAUGUCAUGAAAUAGAGAGCUCCAAUUGGGCCAUUUUUGGUAAGCAAAACUGGCGAUGUGGGAUGAACCGAAAGUCAAGUUACGAUGCUAAAUUACAUGCUAACCUAGAUCCCACAAAGGAUGUUGGUUGAUUAAGACAACAAUAUGGUGGUCAUGGAAGUCAAAAUUUGCUAAGGAGUGUGUAACAACUCACCCUACCAAAUCAAGCACACAACCUAUACUCGACCGUCAGAGAAAUUGCCUGGCUUCUGAGUAGGAGGACGCGGGGGUCAUUGGGAAACCUCAGGCAUGAGCUUGGGUGGAUCGGUCCCCAGUGCAGAUGUUGGUGGUAGUCGAAAAUAUUCAAAUGAGAACUCUGAAGACUGAAGUGGGGAAAGGUUCCAUGUGAAGAACACUUGGAUAUGGGUUAGUCUAUCCUAAGUGAUGGGGAAGCCUUGUAUCAAGGGUGCACUCUACAUGAGCAUCAAAAGGGAAUCAGGUUAAUAUUCUUGAACAAGGACAUGGUGGCAGGAAACAACGUUAGGAAAUCUAGAUAUGUCGUUAGGAGCCCCUAGAAGAGUUAUCUUUUCUUUUUAAUAGCUUCCCACCCUCGAAUCAAUUCAUGCAGAGAUAGGGUCCAACAGCUGGAGGAGCACCACACGUCUUGCAGUGAAUGGUGCACCCUCAGUGGCCAUUGAAAAUAUGGAGGACUAAGUACCAUUCAUGCCCAGUCGUACUCAUAACCGCAUCAGGUCUCUAAGGUGAACAACGUCUGGUCAAUAGAACAAUGUAGGUAAGGGAAUUCGGCAAAACAAAUCCAUAACUUCAGGAAAAGGAUUGGCUCUAAGGGCUAGGCCUAGGGGUUUGUACCGUCAACUCAUGGGUUAUCGGUAGUCUGCCCAAGCUACUCUUGCAGUGAGGGUGGGAAGUCGCAUGUCAAUUGGGCUAUAGGUGUAGAAUGCACCCUACCGGGGGCUUUUCCGUAGGAGGAAAAUAGUUGACUCAAAACUACUAUGGACAAGGGUAAUAUAGAUGUUUAAUUAAAACAAAGAAUUGAGAUGGUCUCUAUGGAUGUAGAUGCAAUGUGAUUUCUACUCAAUGCUCUGAAUGUCAAAGUGAAGAAAUUCAACCAAGCGCGGGUAAACGGUGGGAGUAACUUUGACUCUCUUGAGGAAACCAAAUGCCUCAUCAUCUAAUUAGUGACACACAUGAAUGGAUUAACAAGAUUCCAACUGUCCCUAUCUACUAUCUAGCAAAAUCACAGCCAAGGCAAUGGCCUUGGCAGAAUUAGUAGGGAAAGAAGACCCUAUUGAGCUUGACUCUAGUCUGACUUUGUGGAAUGACUUGAGAGGUGUAUAAUAAGUGUGACCCGUUUUUGGCACAAGUGAAAUACCAAUACUUUUAACGUUAUUUUACGUACUUCGUGGGGCAGAGAUGGGGCACUGCCCCUGUUUUUGGCCUUAAGGCACAUUUCAGUGGGUUGAUCCAAGAAGAAGACAUUUUUAGGUGGGGAGUUUGACUAGAAUGGCAUAGCUAUUAAAAGAUAACACAGGUGUCCUAAGAUGAGCUCAACAAGAAGAGAAAUCUCGUGUGGAACAAAAGGGUAAAAGGUCAUUUUGAUUUUGAUUUUUAGUACAAAUACAAACCGUGAAAGCGUGGCCUAUCAAUCAUUUAGAUUUUUAGAAUUUGAAGCUAGAGGUGUCAGAAAAUUUACCACAGGGAUAACUAGCUUGGGGCAGCCAAGUGUUCAUAGCAAUGUUGAUUUUUGAUCCUUCGAUGUUGGCUCUUCCUAUCAUUGUGAAGUAGAAUUCACCAAGUGUUGGAUUGUUCACCCACCAAUAGCGAAUGUGAGUUGGGUUUAUACUAUCAUGAGACAGGUUAAUUUUACCAUACUGAUGAAUUGCACCUUAAUAUUAAUUCAACUUAGUACAAGAGGAACCAUUGAUUCACACAAUUGGUUAUCGCACUUGGUUGAAAAGACAGUGGUGCGAAGCUACCAUGUGUUGGAUUAUGAUUGAACACCUAUAAGUCAUAAUCCAUGCUAGAAGUGGUGCAUGCCACUCUUCAACUAUAUCUGGACCCGGAGUAGGGGCAUCGAUUUGUCACCCCUAGGGUCUCGUGUCAUUUGCAAACUAUGACUGUGAAGCAUUUUAGUCGGGGCAGCUUCUAAGUUCAAUUCCAAAUGGUCAUUGAGAAGAAUCCUUUGCAGAUGACUUAAAUACAUGAUGGGGUAUUUUAAGUGGCAGAGUGGCCUUUCUACCAUGAUCCCCUGAGAUUCAGCCCUUGGU
rnacentral:rRNA from 1 species